UACGUAGGGUGCAAGCGUUAAUCGGAAUUACUGGGCGUAAAGCGCGCGCAGGCGGUCUUCCAAGUCAGUGGUGAAAGCCCGGAGCUCAACUCCGGAACUGCCAUUGAAACUGUAAGACUUGAGGACGAGAGAGGUGAGUGGAAUUCCCAGUGUAGAGGUGAAAUUCGUAGAUAUUGGGAAGAACACCGGUGGCGAAGGCGGCGACCUGGUCCGAUACUGACGCUGAGGCGCGAAAGCGUGGGGAGCAAACAGG
rnacentral:rRNA from 1 species